CCUACGGGCGGCUGCAGUGGGGAAUAUUGGACAAUGGGGGGAACCCUGAUCCAGCCAUGCCGCGUGUGUGAAGAAGGCCCUCGGGUUGUAAAGCACUUUCAGUGAGGAAGAACGCCUGGUGGUUAAUACCCAUCAGGAAAGACAUCACUCACAGAAGAAGCACCGGCUAACUCCGUGCCAGCAGCCGCGGUAAUACGGAGGGUGCGAGCGUUAAUCGGAAUUACUGGGCGUAAAGCGCGCGUAGGUGGCUUGGUAAGCCGGUUGUGAAAGCCCCGGGCUCAACCUGGGAACGGCAUCCGGAACUGUCAAGCUAGAGUGCAGGAGAGGAAGGUAGAAUUCCCGGUGUAGCGGUGAAAUGCGUAGAGAUCGGGAGGAAUACCAGUGGCGAAGGCGGCCUUCUGGACUGACACUGACACUGAGGUGCGAAAGCGUGGGUAGCAAACAGGAUUAGAUACCCUAGUAGUC
rnacentral:rRNA from 1 species